GUCUGGAUAGCUCAAUCGGUAGAGAAUUUGCCCCAGAAAGGCAAAGGUUCUGGGUUCGAUUCCCAGUCCGGCACA